CCCCCAUCUCUUGUGAUGAACCCGUUUGCCUCUGAGCUGUCAUGAUUUUGGCUUCAAAGUAAACGCUCUGAAGAAGAAUUGGGAUGGAG